GUCUUUUUCCUAUUAUGGAAGUCAAUGGGUACCAUCAACUGUAUGAUUGACAUCAUUUAUCAGAUUAAAGAAUUUUGGCAAGUUUAUAACAACAUGAAGUGUUUGGGUGAGAUCUAGACCGAGGACUAAGGCGUAUACUAGGACAGAACUAAGUGUUGUGGCCCACAGGUGAUCCUAAAACAAUAAAGAGGAACCAUGUAGAGGAAGAAGUGGUGUCCAGAUGUUUUAAAGGCGGUGUUCGGGACAGGAAACAAAGGCAACAAAGAGGAACCUCUAAAGGCACUGCUUGCAGAGACGAGUGUAG